AUAGUCUAGAGCAGUUGUAGUAUUAUUUUGUUGUCUUCCCAACAGCAAGAGUUGGUUCCCAACCAUUGUGAUUUCAUUCCUCUUUGUUUGUCAUAGCCAAUUACUAUACCCUCCUUUCAAUAUACCCUUUCAGUAGUUUUGAAUUACUCACAGCUUCUGCUUAAACACAUUUUCUGUUUACUCAAGAAUGUGCAUUCUCCUUGUCAUCACUUUUGCCUUUCUCUGUAUAUCUUCAACUUCUGUUUCACAACAACUGAGUAGACCUGUACCUGUCUCAGAUGCAGAUCUCCUCCUAGAAGAGGACCUGCUUGGUGUAAUUAACCUUCAGUGUCCCUGUUCAAGAGUGCUUUCCUGCCAUCCCGUCUUUUAUAUUACUGACCAGCCUUUAUGUAACUACUCUAGACCAAUCAUCUGGGACCAGAAGGGAACCCCAUUCAACAGUGGACUGGUGUGUAUUAGGACAUAAUGCCUUCAAUAAUCUGAGGGAGAAAUGAUUUGUCCUAGAAGUUUAUAACCAACCAAGCUAUCAGCCAUGUGUGAAUGCAAGGACUCAAAAAGUUUAUGUCUGCCAUGCACCUCUCAGGAACUGCUGGAUAAUGUACUCCAGAAGAACAAGAAAAAGGCAUACAACUGAUAUAGUAAAUCCAAAAUAGAAAAACGUCAAAAGUACAUUCUAAGGCAAAGGGUAAGACUAACAUCUACUCUGGAGCCAUAUAAAGCAACCUAUGCUCUUCAUAUUUUCCCAAGAGGUGAAGAAAAAUUUUUAUUAGCAGAAGCUCUCUGGUUUCAUACCACAGAAGUCUUCCCAGCAUACUUUGUGGAAGUAGAUAAUCCAGCCUCCUUCUCCUGUUUCAGUUUUCAAAAAAGGUAAAAAUGUCUAUCAAAAAUGGUAUAUCUCAAAAUUUUGUAUCUAAACUUGAAACUCCCAGGAAUACUCUUAGCCAUCUAGUCUCUCAAAAUGUGCUCUUGGACCACUUGGAUCGCUAUCAACUGGGGAGCUUACUACAAAUACACAUUUCUGGAACCUCCCAGAUUUACCAAAUCAGAAUUUCUAGAGAAGACCAAGGAAUAUAAUUUCUUCUAUCAACCCAGAUGAUUCUUUUCUGAUACCAAUAGAAUUCUAAUUUAGCUGGCACAAAAACCAACACUCAGAUCAAUGGAACAGAAUAGAGAACCCAGAAAUGGACCCAGAAAAGUAUGGCCAACUAAUCUUUGACAA